UGAGGGGAACCGCCUGAACUGAAACAUCUAAGUAGGGCGAGGAAGAGAAAUCAACUGAGAUUCCGUAAGUAGUGGCGAGCGAACGCGGAAGAGGCCAAACCGAGAGUAGUAAUACUUUCGGGGUUCGGACAGAAUACGGCAUUGUAAAGGUUUAGUGGAAUGGAAUGGGAAGUCCAACCGAAGAAGGUGAGAGUCCUGUACACGAAAAGCCUGAACAGCCAUCUGUAUCCAGAGUACCGCCGGACACGUGAAACCCGGUGGGAAUACGGGGGGACCAUCCUCCAAGCCUAAAUACUACUCGGUGACCGAUAGUGAAGAAGUACUGUGAAGGAAAGGUGAAAAGUACCCCUGACGGGGAGUGAAAAAGAACCUGAAACCUUGUGUUUACAAGCACCGAAAGCUCAUCAAAGAGCGAUCGGGUACCUUUUGUAGAAUGGUCCGGCGAGUGAAUGUAACCGGCGAGGUUAAGCACUUAAGGUGUGAAGCCGCAGCGAGAGCAAGUCUGAAUAGGGCGUAUGAAGUCGGUUGUAUUCGACCCGAAACCGGGUGACCUACCCAUGGUCAGGUUGAAGUAAAGGUAAAACUUUAUGGAGGACCGAACCGACUCCCGUUGAAAUGGUAGCGGAUGAACUGUGGGUAGCGGAGAAAUUCCAAUCGAACCCGGAGAUAGCUGGUUCUCUCCGAAAUAGCUUUAGGGCUAGCCUUGAAAUAGAUUACCGGAGGUAAAGCACUGAAUUGGCUAGGGGCCGAGAGGUUACUGAACCUUAUCAAACUAAGAAUGCCGGAUAAUCGUUUUUCAGGAGUCAGACAGUGGGAGAUAAGUUUCAUUGUCAAAAGGGAAACAGCCCAGACCCACAGCUAAGGUCCCCAAGUAUAGUUAAGUGGAAAAGGAUGUGGAAUUGCACAGACAACCAGGAUGUUGGCUUAGAAGCAGCCACUCAUUAAAAGAGUGCGUAAUAGCUCACUGGUCGAGUGACUCUGCGCCGAAAAUUUAACGGGGCUAAACUAUACACCGAAGCUUGGGAUACAUCUAAUGUAUGGUAGGAGAGCGUUCUGUAUGGGGAGAAGUCGUAGCGAAAGCGGCGGUGGACUAUACAGAAGUGAGAAUGCCGGAAUAAGUAGCGAGAAUUAAGUGAGAAUCUUAAUGGCCGAAAGUCUAAGGUUUUUGGAGGAAGGUUCGUCCGCUCCAAGUAAGUCGGGAGCUAAGGUCAGGCCGAAAGGCGUAGCCGAUGCACAUACGGUUGAUAUUCCGUAACCAUCUGUAAUUUAAGCAAAGGGACACUUCAAAAGGGUGUGACCCGGGCGUUGGUUGACCCGGGCGUAAGGGACCGAAAUUAGAGUAGGGAAGCACACUUAGCUGAAGGCGAGAAAAGCUUUGCGUAUAGAAACAGAUGCCCGUACCGCAAACCGACACAGGUGGACAGGAAGAGAAUUCUAAGGCCAGCGGGAGAAGGGUAGUUAAGGAACUCGGCAAAUUGACUCCGUAACUUCGGAAUAAGGAGUGCUCGAAAGAGCCGCAGAGAAUAGGCCCAGGCGACUGUUUAGCAAAAACACAGGUCUCUGCCAAAUCGAAAGAUGAAGUAUAGGGGCUGACACCUGCCCGGUGCCGGAAGGUUAAGAGGAGGAGUGAGAGCUCCGAAUUGAAGCCCCGGUAAACGGCGGCCGUAACUAUAACGGUCCUAAGGUAGCGAAAUUCCUUGUCGGGUAAGUUCCGACCCGCACGAAUGGUGUAACGAUCUGGGCACUGUCUCAACUACCCACCCGGCGAAAUUGUAGUACCGGUGAAGAUGCCGGUUACCUGCGGCAAGACGGAAAGACCCCAUGGAGCUUUACUGUAGCCUGAUAUUGGGUUUCGGAAAUCUAUGUACAGGAUAGGCGGGAGACUGGGAAACAUGAGCGUCAGCUUGUGUGGAGUCGAUGUUGGGAUACCGCCCUUAGGUUUCUGGAAUUCUAACCUGCGGCCGUGAAUCCGGUCGGGGGACAUUGUCAGGUGGGCAGUUUGACUGGGGCGGUCGCCUCCGAAAAGGUAACGGAGGCGCUCAAAGGUUAGCUCAGCACGGACGGAAACCGUGCCUCUGAGUGUAAACGCAAAAGCUAGCCUAACUGCGAGGGUGACGGCCCGAGCAGUAACGAAAGUUGGAGUUAGUGAUCCGGCGGUAUGUGAAUGGAAAUGCCGUCGCUCAACGGAUAAAAGCUACCCUGGGGAUAACAGGCUGAUCUCCCCCAA
rnacentral:rRNA from 1 species